rnacentral:rRNA from 1 species
AUUGAACGCUGGCGGCAUGCUUUACACAUGCAAGUCGAACGGUAACAGGGUGCUUGCACCGCUGACGAGUGGCGAACGGGUGAGUAAUGCGUCGGAACGUGCCGAGUAGUGGGGGAUAACGCAUCGAAAGGUGUGCUAAUACCGCAUACGUACUGAGGUAGAAAGUGGGGGACCUUCGGGCCUCACGCUAUUCGAGCGGCCGACGUCUGAUUAGCUAGUUGGUGAGGUAAAGGCUCACCAAGGCGACGAUCAGUAGCGGGUCUGAAAGGAUGUUCCGCCACACUGGGACGGGGACACGGCCCAGACUCCUACGGGAGGCAGCAGUGGGGAAUUUUGGACAAUGGGCGCAAGCCUGAUCCAGCCAUGCCGCGUGUCUGAAGAAGGCCUUCGGGUUGUAAAGGACUUUUGUCCGGGAGCAAAUGCCUGGUGUUAAUAGCACUGGGAGCUGAGAGUACCGGAAGAAUAAGCACCGGCUAACUACGUGCCAGCCGCCGCCGUAAUAC